CGGGCCGUAGGAUAGUGGCUAAUCCGUCUGCUUCGGGAGUAGAAGAUCGGCGGUUCAAAUCCGCCCGGCCCGA
rnacentral:tRNA from 1 species